AUAUCAAGGCGGCUGGCUGAGGGCGGAUUUCAUAUAAUGUUAAAAGGACAGAUAUGCAAUUGUUAACGUCAGAAUUUUCUGUCACGUCCCAAUUACGUAAGACACUCUGAUCCUGCACAGUAAACACGGUAAACACUAUAAACUUGACGGCGGUUCUGUCGGGGGAUAGCUCAGGCAUGAGAAUUAGUAUGUGUUCACAAGGUUAACAAUGGAGGAAUGUACUGUCUAGUGUCUAGAGAGAGAUAAUAAAUCUCGGUUGUGUGUAUGUGAGAGAAUAUGAAAAUCAAAAAGUAUA
rnacentral:lncRNA from 1 species